ACUUACGGCCAUACCAGCCGAAGAACGCCCGAUCUCGUCUGAUCUUGGAAUCUAAGAAGGGCCGGGCCUGGUUAGUACUUGGAUUGGAGACUGCCUGGGAAUACCAGGUGCUGUAAGCU
ensembl:rRNA 5S_rRNA 5S ribosomal RNA